CUUGCAUGGCACCUUCGGAAUUGAGGCGAGCUGAUUCUCAGGGAGGAGGCUUCCAGUUCAAUUCUUCCAAGUCCCCUGCCUGAAGUUUGGACAGGAGCUCCUUUGGAUAAGCAUUAGGAAGACAGCCGACUUGUGUGGAAGGCACUGAAGAGCCUUAGCCCCGGGAAAAUAUUCAAUGAAUGUCGGAAAGGGAAGAUCCAUUCAGCGCAGCAAGAUGUGGAUGUCCAGGCAGAGGAGAAGGGUGGCAACCGGGAAACAUGCACACAGCUCUAUCCUCCACUUCCUGCUAACCCAGAGCCAUGAAUGUAUCCUGUGGACAAUGACAAAAAUCUUUGUCUUUUUCUCCAACCUUACACGUCUACAACAGAAUGCAUUUACAUUACAGAUGCACACGAUGUUAUCUAUUCUACUCUAAUAUUUACCAGAUGGCAUCAGUACACUAGAUUCUUUAACAUUAGGAGCAGUCUU
rnacentral:lncRNA from 1 species